UCAUUAGGAACCGAGUCACCGCCUCUCUGGGCAGGAAGGCAUAGGUCUCAGCUAUCUGCGCCGGGGGAGAAGCGAGGGUUACUGCGGAUGAACUAGAACUGUGUGAAGGAGGAGGAGGAGGGUUCUUUUAUUUAUUUUAUUUUAUAUUGGUGUGAAAGUUUGGGUUCAGAUUUAGGUGUUAUAUCAACAUGACACGGAGAGGAAUCCUCCCUUCAGGCCCGAACCGGAGCAAUCCGACGACCCAGUUCCGAAUCCUUUCCGCCAGGGUUUGAACACUUUUACCUCAGCAAAAUUGAAGCACUUAUCACGGUGCAUCUCCUGCCCUGUUUUUGUUUCCGCUGCUUUGCCACCCUCCCCGUGUCACCCCCCUCUGGCGUUUUCCUGCAAAAUGCGACCUUCACGUGACCAUGGAGAAGGUGGUGGGGGUGCCCACCGUCCCGUUCAGCCCGCCUCCACCAACCCACCCUCCCUUCAUGGCCCCUUGAGGCAGCGGGGAGGGAAAGGCCACCCAGAGGAGCGUGCACCUCCCAGAAGGCCACAGUGACAGCUCCAUAUUAUGCCCUGCCCCAGAGAUGCUGCCUCCUCAAAAGGGUACACUCUAUGAGACGUGACAGGACCUCUCUACAGGGCAGGAAGAUUUUUUUCUUUUUUAUUUCCUGGUGGAGUAGAAGGAGAGGAGGGGGUACCCUAGACAACCCCAAUACUCCCAUCUGCACCUCUGAGGCUGAAAACAAAGAUCUGCUGCUGCACCGUCAGGGCAACACAUGCAACCAUAAGAUCACAACUCAGUGAUUUCAUGAUAACAGACUGCCUUUGUUCCAGAAAUAUGGACUAUGUGGCACAAAAAAAGCAUCAUAAGUACUUUGUUUCUCUGCUGGUUGUUACCCUGGUAACUCCUGAUGUUAUAAAUGAAACAUUAUUCUCCCAGAGCUGGUCUUAUUCUCUGCUUUAAAUGUGAAAAAUAUCAUAUAGUUCACCGCCGGUUCCACGGUGGAUUAAAAAUGGCCUCCGUCGCGGCUGCAUCUUCAUAAUAUUUUAACUGUUAGUCUUCCUGCAAACCUUUACAACCAUCAUCUAUCACCAAGGAGCAUUAGAUAACCGGGAGACUCACAACUCCACAUAGAGGAGAAGAUUGCUGCAACUACUUAAUAAAUGAAACUAAACG